rnacentral:rRNA from 1 species
GUCUAUGGCCAUGCUACCCUAAACAAGCCUGAUCCUAUCUGAUCUCGGAAGCUAAGCGAGGUUGGGCCUGGUUAGUACUUGGAUGGGAGACCACCUAGGAAGACCAGGUGCUGCAGGCG